UACCUGAGGAAGCACUGGACACUUUUGACCUGUUUAAGCUACAACACCUGGUUGAGAUUUCUCCCAAGUUGAUCCAAAGAUUUGAAAAUUCAUGAAUCACCAAUGCUAACAUUUAUCUCUAUUUUAUAUUUUUCUUUUUCUACUGGAUAUCUUUACCAGUUUGUGUGUAGUGAAAGGUUCAGAAAUUUUAUUUUUGAUUCACUAAAAAUAUAAUCUGUUUAGGUUAUGAAAAGUAUGUUCUUGUUUUUGCACGAAGAGGAAGUUGUAAUGGCUGUAGUAACUUUAUUUUGAGUUAAGGAAAUGUGACAGAGUUCUUAAGAAAAGACGUCAGUUGUCACAUUCAGUAAAUUUAGAACAUUGUUCUGCUCAAGUUUCUCUGCAGUUUCUAUCUCCUCUUCAGCUCCACAUUGAUCUCCGUUCAUUGGUGGAAUGAGAAUGGGACACACUUUGUUCAGGGAUUUGGAGUUAAUCUUGUUGUUUACACUCUUCUACUUUGGACACGCUCAAAAUGGCAGUCAGCUGUAUGCAGAGGUAAAGAAGAACAACAAAGGAAAAUCAUCUCUUUCAGUUGAUGAGAAGAUUUACUCUGAAGUUAAAUAAGGACCAGCACUUGAUCAUCAGAACCAGCAGCUUUCAACAAUGUGAAAUGUGCCAGCAUCAGCAAGAACUUAACUAAAGAGCCACAGUUUGGUAGACUGCUGCUCACGUUAAUGGCACCAAUGAGCAGCCUCUUGAAAGAGUGAACAGAGAAGGCUCUUCAGAAUUAUAUUCCACUGCUCUAUUAAAAAAA